rnacentral:lncRNA from 1 species
AGGUGGUGGCGGCAGUCGCUAGUUGGUGAUAGGCAAUGGCGGAGGCUGCGAUGGAGGAGGACAAGGAGGGGAGGGGUUUAGGAUUAGGGUUAGGAUUGGGUCUGAGGUUUGGGAAAAGGGAGGAGGAAUCAGCAUUGGUUGAGGUGGCAGAAAUGGAUGGCAUGGUGGUUAAUCAUUAGCCUGGUCUACCACUGAGUUGGCAAACCCGAUGCAACUAAUAAAUUAUGUAUAGAAAGGACUUUUCACUUCCACGAUGCCAAUCUCCCAUCCAUAAUUUCCAAUAUAUAUGAAGGAAUCUAAGGUUUUUGGAUGUCCAACAGAGAUUCGGAUGCCCAAUCCUAUCAAAGAUUGCGAUGCUCAAUCCUGUCGAAGAUUGGGAUGCCAAUCUCCUAAUGUUUACAUGAUUAUAACAAGAUGCCCAUUUCUGUAAAUAACUUUACAUGAUUGUAACAAGAUUACACAAUGAUGGCGAAAGGAAAGAAAUCCAUAAAUCUUGCUCCAAUGUGACCUUUUAUUCUCGUUCAAAUUUGAAUUAUAUUAGAAAUAUAAUUUUCCAAGAUUUUAAGCAUUUUUUUCAAAGAAACAAUUCAGAUUUUUAGGAAAUAAAUCCAACAUAUAAGGCCAUUAGCCCAUGAGACAAAUAUAGGGCUGCACUAAAUUUAUAGGGAAUUUCUGGAGC